GUAAUACGUGGUCCUUUUAUUCUUGCAAACAGUUUAUAGUUAUGGCAGUAGUCUUUCCCUUUUAGAAUAUUGAAUAACUGUGAGUACUCAUCAAUAAAUACCAAGUAAAAUAACUUUGAAAUAUAUAUCAAAGUGGGUUUUUCCUUCUCUUCACCAGGCAUGGUGGCAAAAAGUCUUAAUACCAGACCUUGGGACCCAUAUUACUAUGAUUCCGUAAGAUUUUCUUGAUUACAAAAGACAGAGAAGAAACAAAGUCUUGAAGCUGCCUGUGUAAAGCUGCCUAAAUCCUGUUAGUGACUGCAAUGGAGCAGCAACAUGAAGCAGAAAAAGCAGAACACUUCCUGGCAUCACAGAUAUGUGGAUAAAUAUGCAGGAUAUUUGCUGAAUGCAGCAUCAACAUUGGUAGUAUUUUUUUGUUUUAUAUGAAAUGAAUAAUUACUCAGAGCAAAACAGAUAGUUUUACUUCAGGAAACAGCAGUUUAUAAUGCAUCUUCCUUCACCUUCAAAAUAGGAAAAGUGAACCCAGCACAUAUCUGGUUAUAUUCCAGUGCUCCUUUGUUUGCCUUGGCGUUUGCUUCACUUUUAUAUAAAUUAGUCCAAGUUGCUUGGGUGGUGUUAAUCAUUCUGUUGUUUGUCUACAUGUUCAAUGUCCUUAAAGCUUGUAGUAGUAAUGGGCUGCUAUUUUUUUUCAAGUAGACUGGUUCACUUUCCUCAAUAUCUGUGCAAACUACAGAAAAUCAAUGGUGGCAAGUUAUUAAUUUUCAAUUUUCAUUGUGAAUUGGAUAACAUUAUGGUGUUUAGCUGAAUAAUACAUUAUGUCUAAUGGUGCCUGGUAUUAUAAAUUAUACUUUGAUUAUAAUCUUCCCUUUUAAAGCUAAGAAAUUUUGCCCUGGAAUAUUCUCUUGAUCUGUUUAAGUCUCACACAUUAAAAAAAAAUUCACAUGUACCUGAGGAGGAUUCUGACAGAUUUUUUUUUCUCUGAAUAAAGUUUGUAGAAUCAAUUGUGUAACAGAAUAAGAUAUUUUUUUCUAAAAAAUGCAGUGUUAAAAUAGACAUAAAAUCUAUUUGUAAAACAACACUAAAAUAUUUUUAGUAAUAUUUUGUCUUUAAAAUGUUAUGGUUAGCAAUAGAAAUAAUAUAUAUUAGAUAAAUACUUUCAACAUUAUUAAUGCCAAAUCCUAGAUCCAUUGCAAGGAAAGAAGAAUGCUGUCAGCACUAUCUGCUAGACUCAGUUGUAAUUUUGGAUUACACAGUGUUGAAGAAUGGGAGCUAGUGUAGAUGCACCAAAAAAGAGAAGUUGAAAAUCUACAGUCAAUGUAUCAUAAAAUGCCCAGGGAGAUUUCUCUAAUAAAAAGGAGGAGGAACAUGAGCGGCAACAGAAGAACCUGGCUGCACUGCAUCUUGCAGCAGCUUGGACAGUCUCUUCAGAAGGUGCCUCACAUCCAUCUUUUACCAAGAUGAACGCACGGAUUCAGAGCAGUCACCUCAUGCCAGGCAAAG